GGGGGGGAUUGAGUUCUGGAGGGAAUUCCCAAAGGGAUUCCAAUUUGGGAUUGGGGAUUUGGGAGGGAUGAGUUUUGGAGGGAAUUCCCAGAGGAUUCCCAGCCCCAGUUUGGGAUUUUGCGGGUGAAUUUUGCAGGGAAUUCCCGGUCGAUUCCCAAAAAACCCCCGGGAUUAGGUACGAGACCCCUCCCCUCCCCUCAAGGGCCCACCCCGGGGUCGGGAGCUUCCCAAAAUCCCCCGAAUUCCCAAAUCCCCCGUUGCCAAUCCCGGUACGAGCCCUGGGACCCUCCCCCCUCAUUCCCUUCUCCCGAAAUUCCCAAAAUCCACAAGAAAGGUCCCGUCAGGACGGGCCCAAACCCAAAACCCCCCUUUGGGGAUCCCAAAGGUGCCUGAAUUGACCCCACAACUCGAGGGGGGAGGGAAUUCCCGCUCCAGGUGCUGCCCCCCGGACUCCAGAGCAAUAUCCCACGGGAAGAGGGGCAGCCCCACCCCGGCCACCGGGAAGCUUUAAAAUUCCAACCCCACUUUGGGGCUGGAAAAUGGAAUUUCCCCCUUUUUUUUUAGCACAGGUUGGUUUAGAGACCCUCCCCCGUUCCUUUCCCC